rnacentral:rRNA from 1 species
AGUGAACGCUGGCGGUAGGCCUAACACAUGCAAGUCGAACGGCAGCACAGUAAGAGCUUGCUCUUACGGGUGGCGAGUGGCGGACGGGUGAGGAAUACAUCGGAAUCUACUUUUUCGUGGGGGAUAACGUAGGGAAACUUACGCUAAUACCGCAUACGACCUACGGGUGAAAGCAGGGGAUCUUCGGACCUUGCGCGAUUGAAUGAGCCGAUGUCGGAUUAGCUAGUUGGCGGGGUAAAGGCCCACCAAGGCGACGAUCCGUAGCUGGUCUGAGAGGAUGAUCAGCCACACUGGAACUGAGACACGGUCCAGAGUCCUAAGGGAGGCAGCAGUGGGGAAUAUUGGACAAUGGGCGCAAGCCUGAUCCAGCCAUACCGCGUGGGUGAAGAAGGCCUUCGGGUUGUAAAGCCCUUUUGUUGGGAAAGAAAAGCAGCAGGUUAAUACCCCGCUGUUCUGGCGGUACCCAAAGAAUAAGCACCGGCUAACUUCGUG